rnacentral:rRNA from 1 species
AGCAGCCGCGGUAAUUCCAGCUCCAAUAGCGUAUAUUAAAGUUGUUGCAGUUAAAAAGCUCGUAGUUGAAUUUCGGGAUCAAUAUGUUGGUCGUGCCUCGGUACGUACUAGCUUAUUGGUUUCUCCCUUCUGACGAACCAUGAUGUCAUUUAUUUGGUGUUAUGGGAAAUCAGGACUGUUACUUUGAAAAAAUUAGAGUGUUUAAAGCAGGCUCACGCUUGAAUACAUUAGCAUGGAAUAAUGAAAUAGGACGUUUGAUUCUAUUUUGUUGGUUUCUAGGAUCGACGUAAUGAUUAAUAGGGAUAGUUGGGGGCAUUAGUAUUCAAUUGUCAGAGGUGAAAUUCUUGGAUUUAUUGAAGACUAACUACUGCGAAAGCAUUUGCCAAGGAUGUUUUCAUUAAUCAAGAACGAAAGUUAGGGGAUCGAAGACGAUCAGAUACCGUCGUAGUCUUAACCAUAAACUAUGCCGACUAGGGAUCGGAUGAUGUUAAUUUUUUUAAUGACUCAUUCGGCGCCUUAC